UGCGUAGGUGGGCAGGUAAGUCAGUGGUGAAAUCUCCGAGCUUAACUCGGAAACUGCCAUUGAUACUAUUUGUCUUGAAUAUCCUGGAGGUAAGCGGAAUAUGUCAUGUAGCGGUGAAAUGCUUAGAUAUGACAUAGAACACCCAUUGCGAAGGCAGCUUACUACGGGAUUAUUGACACUGAGGCACGAAAGCGUGGGGAUCAAACA
rnacentral:rRNA from 1 species